ACUGAACGCUGGCGGCAGGCUUAACACAUGCAAGUCGAGCGGGGGAAGGUAGCUUGCUACCGGACCUAGCGGCGGACGGGUGAGUAAUGCUUAGGAAUCUGCCUAUUAGGGGGGGACAACAUCUCGAAAGGGAUGCUAAUACCGCAUACGUCCUACGGGAGAAAGCAGGGGAUCUUCGGACCUUGCGCUAAUAGAUGAGCCUAAGUCGGAUUAGCUAGUUGGUGGGGUAAAGGCCUACCAAGGCGACGAUCUGUAGCGGGUCUGAGAGGAUGAUCCGCCACACUGGGACUGAGACACGGCCCAGACUCCUACGGGAGGCAGCAGUGGGGAAUAUUGGACAAUGGGGGGAACCCUGAUCCAGCCAUGCCGCGUGUGUGAAGAAGGCCUUAUGGUUGUAAAGCACUUUAAGCGAGGAGGAGGCUACUUUAGUUAAUACCUAGAGAUAGUGGACGUUACUCGCAGAAUAAGCACCGGCUAACUCUGUGCCAGCAGCCGCCGUAA
rnacentral:rRNA from 1 species